rnacentral:rRNA from 1 species
AUUGAACGCUGGCGGCAGGCCUAACACAUGCAAGUCGAGCGAGCGGCGGACGGGUGAGUAAUGUCUGGGAAACUGCCUGAUGGAGGGGGAUAACUACUGGAAACGGUAGCUAAUACCGCAUACCAUGAGAUGUGCCCAGGUGGGAUUACCUAGUAGGUGGGGUAACGGCUCACCUAGGCGACCAUCCCUACCUGGUCUGAGAGGAGGAACAGCCACACUGGAACUGAGCCACGUUCCAGACUCCUACGGGAGCGAGCAGUGGGGUAUCUUGACCAAUGGGCGCAACCCUGAUGCAGCCAUGCCGCGUGUGUGAAGAAGGCCUUCGGGUUGUAAAGCACUUUCCGCGGGGAGGCGUUACCCGCAGAAGAAGCACCGGCUAACUCCGUGCCAGCAGCCGCGGUACUUC